CCUACGGGUGGCAGCAGUGGGGAAUAUUGCACAAUGGGGGAAACCCUGAUGCAGCGACGCCGCGUGAGUGAAGAAGUAUUUCGGUAUGUAAAGCUCUAUCAGCAGGGAAGAAAAUGACGGUACCUGAUGAAGAAGCCCCGGCUAACUACGGGCCAGCAGCCGCGGUAAUACGGAGGGGGCAAGCGUGAGCCGGAUUUACGGGGGGUAAAGGGAGCGUAGCCGGCAGCACAAGUCUGGAGUGAAAUGCCGGGGCUUAACCCCGGAACUGCUUUUGAAACUGUGCAGCUAGAGUGCAGGAGAGGUAAGUGGACUUCCUAUUGUAGCGGUGAAAUUCGUAGAUAUUAGGAGGAACCCCAGUGGCGAAGGCGGCUUACUGGACUGUAACUGCCAUUGAGGCUCGAACGCGUGGGGAGCAAACAGGCUUAGAUACCCGUGUAGUC
rnacentral:rRNA from 1 species